rfam:[Clostridium] thermoalcaliphilum strain DSM 7309 CLOTH_contig000002, whole genome shotgun sequence.
GUGAUGGUAUCGAAAGAGCUAUACACAUUCUAGAAUAAAUGCCUAAAAUUUAAUAUGUUCUCUGCUUUGAGCCUUAGUUGACAAAGACGGAUAU